rnacentral:ncRNA from 1 species
UGAAACGCUAUGACCGGGAGAAGUAACUCUGGUAUUCACUCACAGAGAGCGCGGGAGAGGUGUGAGCCGCGCAGCAGAGCCUUUGUGAAUAACACCCGUGAGCGGCAGACCCAACGGCAUUCUGCCAAGUAGGAAAGACGUGUUCCUCACGUUAUGAGGAUAAGAGUGACAACGCUCGGAUACUUUUUUUAAGCUUUUGAGCGCUUGUAAAUUCAGGUGGUACCGCGAAGUCUAUGGCUUUCGUCCUGUUA